rnacentral:rRNA from 1 species
AGUGAACGCUGGCGGUAGGCUUAACACAUGCAAGUCGAACGGCAGCACCGUAAGAGCUUGCUCUUACGGGUGGCGAGUGGCGGACGGGUGAGGAAUAUAUCGGAAUCUACUUUUUCGUGGGGGAUAACGUAGGGAAACUUACGCUAAUACCGCAUACGACCUACGGGUGAAAGCAGGGGAUCUUCGGACCUUGCGCGAUUGAAUGAGCCGAUGUGGGAUUAGCUAGUUGGCGGGGUAAAGGCCCACCAAGGCGACGAUCCGUAGCUGGUCUGAGAGGAUGGUCAGCCACACUGGAACUGGGACAGGGUCCAGACUACUACGGGAGGCAGCAGUGGGGAAUGUUGGACAAUGGGGGCAAACCUGAUCCAGCCAGACCGCGUGGGUGAAGAAGGCCUUGGGGUUGUAAAGCCCUUUUGUUGGGAAAGAAAAGCAUCAGGUUAAUACCCCGCUGUUCUGACGGUACCCAAAGAAUAAGCACCGGCUAACUUCGUG